GGCUUUGGAGAGGCUACAGUGAGUGUGUUUAAUCUGCUUAGGAAGUUGCUCCAUUUUGGAGGGUUAUUCAGAUUUCCUGUGAUUUUAAAAUAUUUCAAAAUGCUUUCCAUAUUCUUUCAAGUCCUUUUUCUUGCUUUUCUUCCCUGCUUUUCCCAGCUUCAUGAAAAAAAGUUGGUGUAUUCUGCAGAAAUCUUCACAUGUAGAUUUGUACCUGGACUGUGCUGGAGUUGAGAUGAACUGGGUUGGUGAGGGGCUUGGAACACAAGCCCUGUGAGGAACAACUGAGGCAGCUGGGGUUGUUUAUCCUGGAGAAAAGGAGACUCAGAGGUGACUUUAUUAAUCUUACAGCCCCUGAAAGGUGCCUGUGCUCAGCUGGGGCUGGGCUCUUUCUCCAGGAGCUGACAGAACCAGAGCACACAGCCUCAGCUGCACCCAGGGAAAUUCAGGUUGGAUGUUGGGAAGAAGGUUUUUACAGAAAGGUGACAAAGUUGUGGACUGGCUGCCCAGGGAGGGGGUGCAGUCCCCAUCCCUGGUGUGUUUAACAAAGCCUGGAUGUGGCACUGGGUGCCAGGCUUGAGUUGGGGUGUUGGGGCUGGGUUGGACUCGAUGGUCUUGAAGGUCUCUUCCAAGCUGGGGAUUCUGUGAAUUCUGUGAAAAAGAUCUUUGAGAUCCACACAAAUUCCAGGGGAAAUGAGGCUCUUAGAACCGCCCUUCCAGCACUGCAGAGUGCCAAUCCCCUCUAGAAAAGGGAGAAAAGGAGACUCAGGGGUGACUCUACACUCCCUGAAAGGUGCCUGUGCUCAGCUGGGGCUGGGCUCUUCCUCCAGGAGCUGACACAACCAGAGCACACAGCCUUAAAUUCUACCAAGGGAAAUUCAGGUUGGAUAUUGGGAAGAAGGUUUUUACAGAAAGGUGAUAAAGGUUUUUAGAGAAAGGGGAUAAAGUUCUGGACUGGCUGCCCAGGGAGGUGGUGCAGUCCCCAUCCCUGGGUGCGGCCCUGGGUGCCAGGGUUGAGUUGAGGGGCUGGGGUUGGGUUGGACUCUGAUCUUCAAGGUCUCUUCCACCCUGGGGAUUCUGGGAUUCUGUGAUUCUGUGAGGAGCAAACCUGAGCAGUUGGGGGUUUAGAUGACCAUUACUUUAAUGGAUGCACUGACAUUUUUCUGGAGGCCUAUUUUUAAUUACUGAACUUUCCUGUGUGGGUGUUUAAAUAAAUAAAUAAACAUCCUUGGGGAAGGGGGGGAUGCUAAUGCCUGCAUGUGCCAGCACUGGGGACAGCAGUUUGCCACUUGUUUGCAGUUUCUCAAAGUGCCACUCUCACCAGAUGUUUCUGUGUGCCAGAAGAGCAGCGGACUC